rnacentral:lncRNA from 1 species
GUUUUUACGUUGGUUUAGAAGGCAACCCAGCUAAGAGUUGGGUAAAGUUUGAUUUCUUACAGGUAAAUUUGUGCAAAUUUGUAAAUAACGUAGAUAAUAUCCUUGUCCCAUUGCUGCUUAGAGUUUUGUGACAUGAAGAGUGUGAAGUGAAUAAUCUGCAAUGUGUAUGUACAUGUAACAGAACUGCACACGAGUACAGAUAUAUAGAUGUGGCAAACACGAAUGUUAUGAAUUUCGUUUUGGGGGGUCAAUGGAUUUGGCGCUGGUUGCUGUUACUGGCCUUUUGCGACGUCUUGAUAUCAGUUUGGAAUUAGAGCUGCGAACUCUGGGGGGAAUCCUCACUCAUACUCAGGUAACCUUGAAGUCAACAUAUGUGAGGAGUUUUCGAUUCGUUGUGAUUUUUGCAUGCAAGUCAACCUGCAGGCAGGUCGGCCAGUUUGUCCAGACAGGAUGUCCUUCUCGCUUGAAGGUCAAGAGAAACAUUACGUAAAACUGGCAUGCGGUGGUGUAGAGGUUGGGUGAGAAUGACACGUGUUUCAUCAUUAUCAAGAAGGUAAAAUAGCCGCAAGGGUAAGCUAUUUGGUAUUCACUUUGAAGUCUUUGAUAUUGGUUUUUGUAGACCCAUCCCCCAAUCUGCAUAAGGAAAGGCCAGUUUGCAUUUUCUUCAAUCGAAGGUCACGGAGAUCAUUAGGUAAAACAUUUCAUGCAGUGAUGUAGAGGUUGAGUUAGAACAGGACGUUUUGCAUCAUUAUCAAGAAGAUAAAAUAGCCGCAAGGAUUAAGAGGAGGGGUGAGAAAAAGUCGUAUAAAAGACGAAAGAAAAAGUUGACAGGGAUCAGUCGAGCGAGUAUCUCCGACACGGUAAGAGUUGCAGUGCACUAUUGUUAUCCACUGCAUUCUUCAUCGUAUUGUCAAUUCUCAGUCAUGGUAAAUUAUGGCGUCGUGCUGCACUUGUGUAUUGUAUCGUUGAUGGCUGGUUUCAGCCAUGAUGUACCGAUGUCUCCUGGGUAUGGCGGAUAACAAAUCACGACGCCGCCGCUUUACUACACAACACACGACACGACCAGUUGCUACACCGAGGCCCCCAAGUACUGCACCAAGGCUCCAGAUUAUUGUUCCACAAAUGAUGCUGCCCUGAGCUACUACACCGAAUCCCCGCUAUAUUAUUCUUCCCCGAGCUACACUACCAAGGGUCGAUUACUACACCGAUGCUCCGAAGUACUACACCACUAAGGUAAUGGAGUACUGUACAACUACAUAUAUCAUGGGGAGAAAAGGCGAAAGAGAUCAGUCGAGUGGUCAUCUCCGACACGGCAACAGCAACUGCAGUGCCAAGGCUCAGUAAUACACCUCUACUUAUAUUGCUCCGAUACUCUACACCAAAGUACCUGAGUGCUGUGCCGAGGGCACUAAUUUUUACACCACCAAGGCACCGGAGUACUACACUGAAACAUACGCUGCUCCAGCUUAUUACACCGAGGCUCCCCAAUACUACACCACCAAGGCACUGGAGAACUACACCACUACAUAUCAUGGAGAGAAAAGGUGAAAGAAUUCAGCAGACGAGUGAGCAUCUCCGUUACAGCAACAGGAACUGCCGUGCACUUAGUCAUCAACUUCAUUCUUCGUCCUGUUACAAGUUUUAAAUAAAGUAAACAAUGGCGUCGUGCUGCUGUUGGGUGUUGUAUCGUUGAUGGCUGGGUCGACCACUGGUGUAUUGUCUCCUGGGUAUGGCGGGUACCAAAGCACAACACUGCCGUACUGUCUUACUAUUAAGCAUCAACUUCCGCUGCUCCAGCUUACUACACUGAGGCUCUCAAGUGCCACUCCAUCAAGUCUCCAGAUUGUUACACCACAGCCCAUGUUGCCUCAAGCUACUACGCUGAAUGUCCGAAGUAUUUUUUCCCCAGCUACACUACCAAAUGGUCGAGUACUACGUCGAGUCGCCCAAGUUCUACAUCAUUAAGGCACCGGAGUACAAAAACGGUCGAAUACUACACAGAAGUAUACCAUUUACCCCAGUCAUGGUAUACUAUGGCGUUGUGCUAUUGUGAAUGUUGCAACGGUGAUGGUUGGUUCGACCACUGGUGUGCCGAUUUCUCCUGGGUAUGGUGGGCGUAAACAUUCCGCAACAACCGGUUAUUACACUGAGGCCCUCCAAGUGCUACACCACAAAGGCUCCAAAACGUUACACCACGACUUAUGCUGCCCCGAUGUUACUUCGCAGAAGCUCCGAAGUAUUUUCCUUCCCCGAGCUUCACUACCCUCACCACGCCGCUUACUGAAUAACAACGUCAACACCUUACUAUACGAAGGUCUUCAGUACUACGCCACAAAGGCUCCUGACUACUACACCGAGGAUUGUCACACCACUGAAGCGUCCAAGUACUGCACUACAACCUACGUUGAUCCAGCUUAAACCCCGAAGGGAGCCGAGUACUACACCACGAAGGGAGCCGAGUACUACACCACGAAGGGAGUGUCACGAUACACCAAUACUUCCGUUUUCUUCACUACAACCUACGCUGCUCCAGAAUACCACACUGAUGUUCCCAAGUACUACACCAACAAGGCAGCCGAGUAUAAUAGCCCAAACUACGAUUCCGCAAUUUUCCACAAGGAAAUUCCUAAUUACUAUAGCCGAACUUUCUACUCGAGGUUGUUUAUGUUUAUCGGUCAUUUUCACGGUAAUUGGUCGCUGGGAAUUAAUUGUUGAUCUUAAAUUGAGAAAAUAAAAGUUUUAAUACGGGUAACUGUU